rnacentral:rRNA from 1 species
AUUGAACGCUGGCGGCAGGCCUAACACAUGCAAGUCGAACGAGUGGCGGACGGGUGAGUAAUGUCUGGGAAUCUGCCUGAUGGAGGGGGAUAACUACUGGAAACGGUAGCUAAUACCGCAUACUAUCAGAUGUGCCCAAAUGGGAUUAGCUAGUUGGUGGGGUAAUGGCUCACCAAGGCGACGAUCCCUAGCUGGUCUGAGAGGAUGAACAGCCACACUGGAACUGAGACACGGUCCAGACUCCUACGGGAGGCAGCAGUGGGGAAUAUUGCACAAUGGGCGCAAGCCUGAUGCAGCCAUGCCGCGUGUAUGAAGAAGGCCUUCGGGUUGUAAAGUACUUUCAGCGGGGAGGCGUUACCCGCAGAAGAAGCACCGGCUAACUCCGUGCCAGCCGCCGCGGUAAUAC